rnacentral:tRNA from 1 species
GGGACUCGUGUGGAAACUUCCCUUACAAGGAAGAAGCCGGCGGUUCGAGUUCGUCAACGCCCA